GACGAACGCUGGCGGCGUGCUUAACACAUGCAAGUCGAACGGAAAGGCCCUGCUUUUGUGGGGUGCUCGAGUGGCGAACGGGUGAGUAACACGUGAGUAACCUGCCCUUGACUUUGGGAUAACUUCAGGAAACUGGGGCUAAUACCGGAUAGGAGCUCCUGCUGCAUGGUGGGGGUUGGAAAGUUUCGGCGGUUGGGGAUGGACUCGCGGCUUAUCAGCUUGUUGGUGGGGUAGUGGCUUACCAAGGCUUUGACGGGUAGCCGGCCUGGGAGGGUGACCGGCCACAUUGGGACUGGGGUACCGCCCAGAAUCCUUCGGGGAGCAGCAGGGGGGAAUAUUGCACAAUGGGCCGAAGCCCUAAGCAGCAACGCCGCGUGCGGGAUGACGGCCUUCGGGUUGUAAACCGCUUUCGCCUGUGACGAAGCGUGAGUGACGGUAAUGGGUAAAGAAGCACCGGCUAACUACGUG
rnacentral:rRNA from 1 species